GUUGAGUUAUAGAUCAUGAGGUGGGAUUGUCCAACAUAAACACGGCUGCCAGGGACUCACCCUGUCUAUGGGGGAUAGGAGGAGAUCUAGAGAAGAGGGGAUGGCUCGUGGGCCGGGCUGACCCCUAAAAGAUACGUCACUACAUUUUGAAUAAUGCUGUUAUAAACAAGUUGGUAGUCAUUGACUUUUUUUCCUUUGUCCUUGGAGUAUAUUUUUCAAAGUGGAAUUACUGGGUCUCAGGGUUGGAACAUUUUCAUGACUUAUUCGUUAUGCAAGCUGAGCCAUGCUGAUGACUUGAGAGGAAAAAAUGGUGUUGGGAAAUACUGGUCUGGCAACUCUCAAGAAACUCUUCCUUAUCUCCGUGAUAUGCCUUUUAAGUCACUGCCUCUUCCACCCUCGGUGAUGAGAACUGACAUGGCCCAGGAGGUGUGUUCUUGUCCAUGAGAUGCAACUCUGCAGGUGCCAUUGGCUGGGGCUCCAACCCAGACAGGGGCAGCAUUCCCUGGCGGGUCCCACAAUUCCUUCCUAAAGGAGCCCUUCUACUGGUCUAAUGGGAAUGAAGGAUCCUACAGGACAUUAGACACUUUGCUUAACUUUUGGACCUGUGCUGUCAGUGGGAUUUUACUAGUAAACUAAACUUUCUACACAGUUGGACCAAGCAGAGCAUUUAAAAGCACAUCCUUUGGGUUCUCCCAAGCUUCCGCAUGGCUUCAGCUUCUACCACUCCAUUCAAGUUUCUCCUCUCGAAAUGAGCAACCAUUUCCACCUUUUCAGUACACUCUCUGGUCUGCUUUUCCGACCCCACAUUCUCCAGAUGCCCCUCCUACUGCUUCAGGCAUUGCUUCUCAGGCUUCUUUGCUGGCUUCUCCUCUGCGACAGUCCUUAAAUGUUGGAGUUUUCCAGGAUUUAAUCCAGAGCCCUCAUUUAUUCUCUCACAAUAUCCUCUCCCUAGAGCAGUUCAUCUAUUCCCAUGAUUUUAAAUAUUUCCCCAAACCUCUCUCUAAGCCCAUAGACCCCCCAUUAUCAAAAUGUCUCCCGUUUCCCCUGUUUAACUGAAAUGCUGGUGGAAAUAAUCACAGAAGAAUCCUAAAGCAAAACUAUUUUUAAGAAUUCAUAACUUUCCUCUCCUGGUGUUUAUGGAAGAGAUGUCUCAAUCACAGUGUUAGCCAAGGCUACUCGUGUUCAACUAUCAUCAACAAUAAAGAAGCCAUUUGAUCUGA